AAAUUGAAGAGUUUGAUCAUGGCUCAGAUUGAACGCUGGCGGCAGGCCUAACACAUGCAAGUCGAACGGUAACAGGAAGAAGCUUGCUUCUUUGCUGACGAGUGGCGGACGGGUGAGUAAUGUCUGGGAAACUGCCUGAUGGAGGGGGAUAACUACUGGAAACGGUAGCUAAUACCGCAUAACGUCGCAAGACCAAAGAGGGGGACCUUCGGGCCUCUUGCCAUCGGAUGUGCCCAGAUGGGAUUAGCUAGUAGGUGGGGUAACGGCUCACCUAGGCGACGAUCCCUAGCUGGUCUGAGAGGAU
rnacentral:rRNA from 1 species